CUGGUCUAUGAAUAGAAUUGUUGUGCUGGGGCUCCUCUGUAUCGUCUGUGGUGAGGACUGCAGGGCCUGCUCCCUUCCAAGGCCUUUUCCAACUGGCCCAGGGGGCGGGGUCCAGGUCCUAACAUUCCCAGCUACGAAAGGACUCCUGUGGCAGUGCCUAGAGAAUGGGGCUGGACUCAUUUGGAACAAACUAUUGGGGAAGGUUCUAUACUCCAGUGCAGUUUGCCAUAAUUAUUUUUCAGGAAAUAUACAAGAUCUCAAGAGCAGAAGUGCCACAUUGAGAAAGAUGUAUGGACCUCACACAGCUAACGGGAGUGA